AAAGAAAUGUAUUGAACACUGAAUUUCUCAGCAAAUUCUUUUAAUCUUUUUUCAUUGUUAACUGUUUCAAAGAGAGAAGAAAGGGAACACAAUUAAAUUAGUGCAUCAGGAGAUAGCAUAGGUAUGAUGAGAGUUAAGAGUCUGACUGAACUCCUAACUGACAUUAGGGAAAAUAAUCCCAUUCAUUUCAACAGUUGAUGGACGGAGCUGCAAGCAUUGGUUAGGAACAAAGCUGGCACCUUGAGGACUUGUACCAGCAUAAUUUUCUUGAUUAAGAAUUAAGGUAGAUCAAAGAUCUGCAAAUUACUUUCCUGGAAAAAAAGCACCCCAUUGAUGUAUCUUUUUCAUUGACCUAAAACAGCGUUUUGUGUUGCUAAGUCUAAGAAGCAAAAAUAUAAAUAGCAUUAUGAGUCUUUUUUUUCUAAAACAAGAGAACAGAGCUCUGUCUCCGGGGUACUAAACUGAAACAUCUAUGUAUAUGCAAAUGUUAAAGGUCUAGUGCUGAAACUGUUCCGUAUUUUUAACACUAAAGUGAAAGAUGUGUGGUAUGUAGGCUUUACCACAAGUAGUUUACUACUAUGUAGCAAUAAUACUUAAUUUUUGAAAGAGUCUUUUAGUAAAUACAGCACCUUUGCACUAAGAAAUCCUAGCUUAGAAGAAAGAGGAGAUGGGUUUAGCUAUGAGACGUGAAGCUUAGUAUGACAAAGAGGGAGACUAGAUGCUAAAGGGUAAGGGAUUGGGGGUUUUGCAUACUGUGGUGAGUCUUGAACUAAACUGACAGUGGUAGCAAAUGUAGCAAAAAGACAAUUUCUUCUGCCACAUAAGCUGAAUGUCAUAUAAAUGUAAUGGGAGUCAGUUACGGGUCACCUUGUUCAAAGUGGUGAGGCUUCAGCUGGAAAAUUCAGGUGUGGUUUUGGGCUCACUAUUUUAAGAUGCUUAAAGAAGGAGAGUAGAGGUUAUAAAACUGAAGAAGCUGGUUUAGGGGUUAGUGCAGACUAGGAAAGAAAAGACUGAAAUGGGAUGUGAUAGUAGCUUUCUGUAUAUAGGAGGUUGUUUUAAAGAAGAUAGUACUUAAUUGUUCUCUAGCACUAUUGGGUGCAGACAACAAGGAAUUCAGUUAAUAUGUAGCAAGGACUUAGGGAACACUUUAAACUUAAGGUGGAUGUAAACAUAAAAUAGUAAGGUUUGAGUAUCUUUUUCUCAUUGGUGUUUCAAAACAGGGAAAGCCAACAUCUGUCACAAAAUAAGGUAUAAUUUUUUGGCACAUAGUAGGGCAUCAAGACAUUUGAUAUCUAGAAGUUUCUUAGCUAUACAUAAUGUGACUACUGCAUUGCCAUUUGGUGGUAAACCACAUGAAGAUUAAGAUGCGACAGUUUCUUUAAAUUGCAUCUUUAAAUGCAUCUGAGUGUAAAUUGUUAUACAUUUGUGUGAUUUUAACAUUUUUUUAGGGUAAAAGAAAUCCCUGUAGCCUUCAGGAAGAUAUGAGUAUAGCUUAAGUGACGGAGAUAAGGUUUGGGAAGUUUGGAUAGUUGUAUUGGGAUAUGGGGGUGCAUAGAAGAAGGGUCAGACGAGGCUGAGAUGUCAUCUAAUGGGUGGAUUGUGUGCAGAAAUUGAGACUGUGGUGUCCAGAAGCAGAGCCUAAGCAUUGGACCCUUGCACAGCAUCAAGUCCCUCUGCUUCUCCCUCUCCUCCCUGCAGUGAGGGAACUGGGCAAUGGGCUGGGAGAGGGGACACAGCCAGGAGAGCUGACCUGGCAGCAAGCAUUGUUCAGUGACAGCCACAACACUGGCAAGUUAUCAACACUGGUUUAGUCACCAGUCCAAAUCUCAGCGCCAUAUGGGCUGCUAUGACGAAAAUGAACUAUCCCAGCCAGACCUGACACUGCUAGACACAGAUAAAGCUGACAUAUUUCUUAAGGUGUCAGCUGCUGACCCAUUUUUCCUUAUUUAUGAUUCUUUUUUAGUUCAUUUAAAGUGUUUUAUGUUUCUUGCCUUGCUACAUCGCCCCUCUGUGUUAAAUCUGAAUUAUUUUUAGAGUGAAUUUUCAAGCAGUAUAUCGAACAUGUCUUUUGAAAAUUGGACUGUAGCAGAGGAAUUGGUUAUGAAUUUGUGACUUUGUAAAUCUUAUUGGGAACAUCCUUAACAAUUAAAAGAGUGGAAAAUAAUGUUGCAGUGAAAAGCAGGAAUUACUUAAAAUAUGUAGCAAUAAACUAAUCCACUUCUCACUCUGUCAGACUGAAGGGUCUUUUGUUGUGGCAGGAUAACCAGCAUCUCCUCUGUAGACCUACUGAAUUAUUGAAUUAUCUUAUUUGGCAAGUUAAUGAUAACUUCCAGUCAUGUAGUGGUGUUUUUCCUUCCCUGAGUGUCAGUGCUUCCCCUGGGUAAAUAUUUCCUGUUACCACAGAACACU